rnacentral:rRNA from 1 species
AACGAACGCUGGCGGCAUGCCUAACACAUGCAAGUCGAACGAGACCUUCGGGUCUAGUGGCGCACGGGUGCGUAACGCGUGGGAACCUGCCCUUAGGUUCGGAAUAACUCCCCGAAAGGUGUGCUAAUACCGGAUAAUGUCUUCGGACCAAAGAUUUAUCGCCUUUGGAUGGGCCCGCGUUGGAUUAGCUUGUUGGUAGGGUAAAAGCCUACCAAGGCCACGAUCCAUAGCUGGUCUGAGAGGAUGAUCAGCCACACUGGGACUGAGACACGGCCCAGACUACUACGGGAGGCAGCAGUGGGGAAUAUUGGAAAAUGGGCGAAAGCCUGAACAAGCAAUGCCGCGUGAGUGAUGAAGGGAUUAGGGUUGUAAAGCUCUUCUAACCGGGAUGAUAAUGACAGUACCGGGAGAAUAAGCUCCGGCUAACUACGUG